rfam:Triticum aestivum genome assembly, contig: Triticum_aestivum_CS42_TGACv1_scaffold_220889_3B
ACGAAGUUCCUUUGGCUAAGAAGUACUACUUGUCAUCAAAAUCGAUAAAAGGAGAUGUAUCUAGACGUAUUUUAGUUCUAGAUACGUCCCUUUUUAUCCAUUUUGAUGACCAGUAUUUUCGAACGGAGGGAGCUUGUA